ensembl:lncRNA
GUAUGCACAUCGAGGAGGCAGUGCGGCGCUGCUGCCAAAAAACUACAUAAAGCACACAAACGAAUACUCUGUUGGACUUAACAGUAAUGGGAGCAGUUUCCGCAACCAGGCUAAUGAUAAAAACAACAAUGAUCUCUCAGAGACGGGCGAUGAAAGCUUCUGUGAGCUUGUGCAGACUCUCAAACCCAUAUCUGCUAACAAGAGUCAACUUAAAGCACACAGUUUUCUCGACUAAGCCCUGGCACAUGUCUCGGUGAGGAAUUUCUCAGGGGCUAAGGGACGGUGUCAGCUGAGGGAACAUCUGCAAAAUCAGCCUGAGACCAGACAGAUGUUCCUCGCUCUUCCACCAGUAUCUCAUACCCCCCCUCAUAACAUCUGUACAGUUACAACUCACCUGUCAAAAUCAUCCAAAUUCAAGCACCACAACACAAAUCAGCUCCAGGCUUUUAUCGGCUGAAUUGAUAAAGACACAACAAAGGAUCUGCCCACACCUGAACAUGAAGCAGCCUUUGAGUCAUUGUCCAGUUACUUUUGGUCCGUUUAAAAAGAGGGUGGCACGUGUUAAGGAGCUGCAACUCUUAACGCCUUCAUCCAGUUUGAAUUUGGAAACCCUCAAAUGAAAGCUGAGAGUCUGCACAUCACGUCCAUGUCCGUUUUC